rnacentral:rRNA from 1 species
GAGUUUGAUCCUGGCUCAGGACGAACGCUGGCGGCGUGCCUAACACAUGCAAGUCGAGCGAUGAAAUUUUCUUCGGAAAAUGGAUUAGCGGCGGACGGGUGAGUAACACGUGGGUAACCUGCCCUAUAGAGAGGGAUAGCCUUCCGAAAGGGAGAUUAAUACCUCAUAAUAUCCUAGUAUCGCAUGAUACAUGGAUUAAAGGAGUAAUCCGCUAUAGGAUGGACCCGCGGCGCAUUAGCUAGUUGGUGAGGUAACGGCUCACCAAGGCGACGAUGCGUAGCCGACCUGAGAGGGUGAUCGGCCACAUUGGGACUGAGACACGGCCCAGACUCCUACGGGAGGCAGCAGUGGGGAAUAUUGCACAAUGGGGGAAACCCUGAUGCAGCAACGCCGCGUGAGUGAUGACGGUCUUCGGAUUGUAAAGCUCUGUCUUUAGGGACGAUAAUGACGGUACCUAAGGAGGAAGCCACGGCUAACUACGUGCCAGCAGCCGCGGUAAUACGUAGGUGGCAAGCGUUGUCCGGAUUUACUGAGCGUAAAGGGAGCGUAGGCGGAUCUUUAAGUGGGAUGUGAAAUACUCGGGCUCAACCUGGGGGCUGCAUUCCAAACUGGGGAUCUAGAGUACAGGAGGGGAGAGUGGAAUUCCUAGUGUAGCGGUGAAAUGCGUAGA